AUCUACCAAUCAAAUCCAAAUUGGGACAGGUACUGAUCCAUUUGAUCCACAGUCUGUCAUCACAAGUCUCUAUGGUACUAGAAGCUCUUCUGAUGAUGUCUAUGUGGAGACUAAUCAGAUGUGGAUGGCUGUCAUAGGAGGACUUUAUGACACCAAUCUCUUCAUAGAUGUUGCCAUCUUUGCUAUUGAUCUCUCAACUCUGUUGAAUUGCCCAGUGAGCAAUAAGAACGUGUUAUCAGUUCUGUGUGAUGGAGUGUACCAUUGCGAUCAUUAUGAAGACGAAUCGGAAUGCAAUUAUUCAACGACGUAUCUGCAAUCAGGCGAAUCUUAUUCAAUCGACAUACCACGCAACUACACCAGACGAUUUUACC